rnacentral:rRNA from 1 species
GACCUCGGAUCAGGUAGGAAUACCCGCUGAACUUAAGCAUAUCAAAA